GCUGCGCACUUCGGUCUUUUACGUCGGCCUUCGCGAGCGUCUGGGCGGGUGGUAGGUGAGUGGGUAUUGCGGGCUAGUAUCCGAGCAAAAGAUGGUGGCGCAGGCCGAGUUAAGAGCUUUAAUCCUGUGAAGACAUCUUAGUGAAGAGUUUAGAGUGCUGAGAGUUGAAAGCUUGCACGUGGGAAACGUGCGGCCGGACUGCCACAUGUACUGAGGUUGAGUCGUGACGGCCACAGGCUCCGAGUUUUGGCGUGAGGAACCGCUGAUCGGCCACGGGCGCCGAACUUGCUGGCCUCCGGCAUGUGCCUGAGCGGCGGCGGAAAAACCACCUUAAUUGGGGCGGAGGGUUAGUUUUAACAGCAAAGGGCCUUUACUAAAAUGGCGAAGGCCUUCCGUCGGCGUUGUUUUAAAAUGGGAAGCCUCGACCCUGUAUUGAAACUGAGCUGUUCGAAGGCGGCGUUGUGUGCAAUUCGGAUUAAUGAAGGGGAAGGGUUUUGUGUGGAAAAACGCCUUGGAGUGUGACAUUUCUGCGAGAAUGCUUAAAUACCGAUUUCCCGCAGGAACAAUGGCGCUGUCUUCAGUGGCACAGUGGAGCAGCUCUGAAGAUGCAAAGAUACACGAAAAAACUUCCAGAACAUCUGGGAGAAUAUUUAAUGGAAAAUCGCUUGGUUAAAACCUGACACUUUUAACAGUGAGGGUCGCUGUCUGCCCAUUGAUAGAGGCCAGAUUGUCUUGGAAGUUCCAAAGUUGCAACGAUUUCUGGCUAGUGCCACGAGGUUUACUUGACUGUUGUGUGAAAAGCUGAUAAGAAAACCAUCCAGAAAAAAGCUCUUCGUUUUACAAACAUGAAAAUAAAACAUGGUACUGCUUUCUCUUGCUGCAGCUUGCUUCCUCCCUCAGGUAUGAAGUUAAGGAAUCUUCUGGUGCCAGAUGCUGGUCCAAUUAGUUGUGGCAAGGCAAGGAUGAGUGGGUGUUGCAGAGUAAGACAGCCUAGGCUGCUCCCUUAGCAGGAGCUUUGGGUGGAGUCACCCUGGAAAAGAGCUUUCAGAUACACCAUGAUGGACAUGUUCAGUGAAAACAACUAUCACAAUAGUUUUCUUUUUUUGUGCAAUGAAUCAUCUUGAAAUCUGAACAACGAAAGAUUGCUCUUAUUCUGGAACUCCAUUCAGAUUAGGAUGGGAAUACCUGGAUAAAAACCAUUGUUUGGGUUUACAUUAUCCCUGUUCUUUUUGUAGUUACUGGUAUAUACUCUGUGGCUUCUGGUAAUUUAAUCCAUCACCUUCUAUCAUAAAAGUGAAAAGUAAAAAAGCUAAAAU
ensembl:lncRNA SNHG5 small nucleolar RNA host gene 5